UAUAUUAAGCUUAUUUCAAAGAUUAAGCCAUGCAAAUGUAAGAACAAAUCGUAGGGGCAACUCUAUGAUAUUUCAUCUGUACACAGCUCCAUAUAAGAUUUAUAAGCGUCUCUAAUUGUGUAAAUUAUAAGGAUAACGUUGCUAAACGCAUCGAUAAUACUUGAGAAAUAAUUAUUAUUUCUAAUAGGAAUGUGGAAUAAUGUCCCUUGGCAACAGGGGGGAUAAUCAAUCGAUCAAUUAGACGCAUUUAUCACCCAUCAAUUAGAUAACUGUUUCGAUAACAGCUAUGAUUAUUACGGGUACAGAGAAUCGGGGUUCGAUUCUGGAGAAGGAGCCUGAGAAAUAGCUACUAGUGCCAUGACAUGCAGCAGGCGCGAAAAUUACCCAAUGAUAAUAAGAGAUCGAGGUAGUGACAAGAAAUAAGCACUGCUUCUUAACUAGAAGCAGGUACUGGUUAAUUUAUCGGUUUACAAUGGUUCCGUAUUAGACUUACGGAAGAGUAACAAUUGGAGGGAAAGUCAGAUGCCAGCAGCCGCGGUAAUAUCUGCUCCAUUAGUAUAAUAUAAAAUUGCUGCAGUUAAAACGUUCGUAGUCGCUAUAAUAGGGAUGAUGAUGUAAUCGAUUAGGUUGAUCUAGGGGAUUAGGCUUUAAAACCUAGUUUCUUAGCCGAAAGGGGGUCCCGCAAGGGAUCUGUUGGCCUAGUCUUAGUAGAAGUAUAGAUGUUUAGUUAGUCUUCGGGCUAGCCGAUGCUAUAUGACUAUGGUUACGUUGUUGUUUCUAGAAUUUAUAUGUGAGCAAAUUAAUGCGAUCAAAGGAUGAUUAGUGGUGGCUAUCUCGCAAGGGAUGGUCAUUGUGAUGUAACAUAUUUUAGCACAUAACCAGUUGUUCUAGCGGUUGUUGCCGUUAGUAUAGGUUAUAAAGCCAGGAGCAAGUAACUCGUACUAAUUGAUGAGGGGUGAAAUCCGUAUAGUCAAUUAAGACGUCCAAAGGCGAAAGCAAGUUACAGGUACUGGCUUGUUGAUGAGGAACGAAAGUUAGGGGAGCAAAGAUGAUUAGAUACCGUCGUAGUCCUAACUGUAAACUAUACAAAUUAGAGAUUGUAUAGAAACUAUUACUAGAUUUAUGCAGUAUCCCAGAGAAAUCACAAAUUUUUGUGUUCUUGGGGUAGUAUAUUCGCAAGAACGAAACUUAAAGGAAUUGACGGAAAUUCACCACCAGGAGUGGAUUCUGCGGCUUAAUUUGACUCAACGCGUGGAAACUUACCAGAACAAGACUAUAGUAUGAUUGACAAGCUAAUGACUUUUCUUGAUUUGUAGAAUAGUGGUGCAUGGUCGUUUUCAGUUCGUGAAUUAGUUUGUCUACUUAAUUGUGAUAACGAGCGAGACCUCCGUAUUUAAUUAGCAACUUCCUUAUCCUAUUACUGGAUAUGGUAUUAAGUGGUAGCAAUAUCACUUACUUCUUAGAUAGACAAUUGGUGAUUAAUAAACAACCAGUGGAAGUUGGAGGCUAUAACAGAUCUGUAAUGCCCUUAUAUAUUCUGGGCGGCACGCGUAAUACAAUGUUUUUGCCAAUAAGAGAACUAGUUUUACUAGUCCAAAUUAGAAAUCUUAAGGGAAACUUAGCAAUUAUUUAUUUCAUAGCUAGGAUUGAGGCUUGUAAGUUCCUCAUGAAUUAGGAAUUCCUAGUAAUCGUAAAUCAACAUUUUGCAAUGAUUACGUCCCUGAGUUUUGUACACACCGCCCGUCGCUCCUACCAAUUGAAUUAUUGAAUGAAUUGGUAGUAGAUUAGUUUUUCGGAACUAGUCAAAUAUCUAUAAAUUUAAUAGUUUGUAGGAAGGAGAAGUCGUAACAAGGUAUUC
rnacentral:rRNA from 1 species